rnacentral:rRNA from 1 species
AGUGGCGAACGGGUGAGUAAUGCAUCGGAACGUGCCCAGUCGUGGGGGAUAACGCAGCGAAAGCUGUGCUAAUACCGCAUACGAUCUAUGGAUGAAAGCGGGGGACCGUAAGGCCUCGCGCGAUUGGAGCGGCCGAUGUCAGAUUAGGUAGUUGGUGGGGUAAAGGCCUACCAAGCCAACGAUCUGUAGCUGGUCUGAGAGGACGACCAGCCACACUGGGACUGAGACACGGCCCAGACUCCUACGGGAGGCAGCAGUGGGGAAUUUUGGACAAUGGGCGCAAGCCUGAUCCAGCAAUGCCGCGUGCAGGAAGAAGGCCUUCGGGUUGUAAACUGCUUUUGUACGGAACGAAACGGUCUGGGUUAAUACCCUGGACUAAUGACGGUACCGUAAGAAUAAGCACCGGCUAACUACGUGCCAGCAGCCGCGGUAAUACGUAGGGUGCAAGCGUUAAUCGGAAUUACUGGGCGUAAAGCGUGCGCAGGCGGUUUUGUAAGACAGGCGUGAAAUCCCCGGGCUCAACCUGGGAAUUGCGCUUGUGACUGCAAGGCUGGAGUGCGGCAGAGGGGGAUGGAAUUCCGCGUGUAGCAGUGAAAUGCGUAGAUAUGCGGAGGAACACCGAUGGCGAAGGCAAUCCCCCUGGGCCUGCACUGACGCUCAUGCACGAAAAGCGUGGGGGAGCAAACAGGAUUAGAUACCCUGGGUAGUCCACGCCCCUAAA